UGGCUUAGAUGGUAAAGAAUCUGCCUGCAGUGCAGGAGACCCAGGUUCAAUGCCUGG
rnacentral:tRNA from 1 species